ACCCGCACAAGCGGUGGAUGAUGUGGUUAAUUCGAUGCAACGCGAAAAACCUUACCCACCUUUGACAUGGCAGGAAUCCCGAAGAGAUUUGGGAGUGCUCGAAAGAGAACCUGCACACAGGUGCUGCAUGGCUGUCGUCAGCUCGUGUCGUGAGAUGUUGGGUUAAGUCCCGCAACGAGCGCAACCCUUGCCAUUAGUUGCUACGAAAGGGCACUCUAAUGGGACUGCCGGUGACAAACCGGAGGAAGGUGGGGAUGACGUCAAGUCCUCAUGGCCCUUAUAGGUGGGGCUACACACGUCAUACAAUGGCCGGUACAGAGGGUAGCCAACCCGCGAGGGGGAGCCAAUCCCACAAAGCCGGUCGUAGUCCGGAUCGCAGUCUGCAACUCGACUGCGUGAAGUCGGAAUCGCUAGUAAUCGCGGAUCAGCAUGUCGCGGUGAAUACGUUCCCGGGUCUU
rnacentral:rRNA from 1 species